rnacentral:lncRNA from 1 species
CCGAAACAAUCUUCUAACAUUGGUCAAGAGGGUAGGAAGUAUCCAAGGAUAUAAAAUGAAUGUUGCUUCACUUGGAUAGAAAAGACGACAUCAGCCAUAUGUAUCAAUUGGAAAGAAAGCAGACAUCCAUCCCUUUUCAUCCUAUGCCGAUACACUGUAAGGUUCGACUAAGCAUUCACAGUAGAUAAGACGUAAGCUGGGAUUUAUAUAAUAUUCAUUCGUCCAUGACAUACUACCACCUAUUGAUAGAUCCACCUUCAUGCCUACCACCUAUUGAUAGAUCCACCUUCAUUCCCUUCUUCCUAUGGUUAGUGGAGCCUUUACCAUCUUAAUCUUAUUAUUAUUGUAUACUAUUUGGUUUGCAAUGUAGUCCCAGACCUAAUAAAUGUAAUCGCUGGACCUGCUAUUGCAUGUUUAUGAUCAGCUCUCUCAUCUUUCACUGCUAGGUUUCCGUCCGCUACGCUAGCCUAUUUCGUAGUUUCAGGUGGUUAAAUACUGCCUUCGCUUCGAUCCGUUGACCCGGGCAACCUCGCCCCUCAUCGCUUGUUCGAGAGCUAGAACAAACAACACCGGUUAGAUUCGAUUGCUAGCCAGGGGAAGGGGAUAUCCUUUCUAUUGGUAAGUUCUUAGCAGAUAUAAAAGAAAGGUGCACAAAGCUACGUGCGUGGGCUAUAAGAACUAACGCUAUAGGCUCACGCGAACUCACUCCCGGCCAUAUAAGACCAAACACUAACAUACCUGGCAGUGUCUCAUGUUUCUUUCAUCGCGUAAUACAGUCUUAAGCCAAUGUUUGAUAUAGAGUAAUACUGUCUUCCGCCAAGCUGCUAAUCCCUAGAGCUAGAGAAAUAAGAAGUCCGGGUUGGCAAAGUCAACUUCACUUCCUUAUAGCUAGAGCUAGAGAAAUAAGAAGUCCGGGUUGGCAAAGUCAACUUCCUUAUAGAUUAGCAGUUUUUACAAGAAAGGAGUUUCACUUAUACAUUCGUUUUUCAAAGAGUGGAUUAGAGGGUUAGCAUGGAAUUACUUAAGUGGAUUAGAGGGUUAGCAUGGAAUUACUUAAGAAUGAGCACGAUUACUUCAAAAUAGACUGAGCACGAGGCUUACAUACUCGGAUUGUAGGGUUCCUCAGCCCAUUACGUUCAAGCUGAGCACGCUUAUUCACAUGAGAAAGAUGAUAGCAUAGAUUAUACCUUCCAUGAGAAAGAUGAUAGCAUAGAUUAUACCUUCUUGGGACCUGCCUUAAUCCAUUUCCAUCCUUGGCUGAAACUAGAAGUGACUAUAAGCCUUUUCUUCCUAUUGUUUGAUCUUAAUGGCGAUCCCCUGAUGUUCAUGCCAUGUAGAACGAGGUAGGUAUUUACAAAUUCCGUAGCAGCUGUAAGCCCUCCUCCUUCCAUGUGGCACCGCGCUCCCGAUCUCCAAGUCUUCUCUUCGGGGUAACCCUUCCAAAAGCACGUCCUCUGACCUCUUUAAGAAACCGACAAGUAACAGCUAACCAACCUUUACUUAAAUGGAAAGGAUGAGACCAAAGUCCCAAUACCUAAAACCAAUCACACUAUAAUAUAACCUCUUCCAAAUAGGAUAUCUACAGGGGCAGUCAAAUCAGAAUGAGGGAAAGGACGGAAUCCGCAGCUAGUGGGCUAGCGCCGAAGGAUUCUCACUCUCCAAGCAAGAAAGGGCAAGCAAGGUGCUGAAAGCCUACUAAAUAGGAAUGCUGCCACUACUGAUAAGGCUGAAAUCACUACCGGAAAGAGCUGGACUGGGAACUCGGGAGCUAACUACUGAUCUGGAUCUUUGUCUGUUUGCUUUUCAACUGAUACUCAUGACAGUUAAGUUAGCCUUACACCCUUCCUUUACUUAUUUGAUUGACUUAUUUGAGAAUAUGUUUUCGUAUCUCAAUCCAGUACUGCUAUAUUAUUAGCUUUAUUCUCUAUUAGGUGUUUCUGUCUUAUUGGUAGCAUUUGCAUUCUUUAUAGCAUUGGUUUGACUCCGCUAUUAGUAGCUGGGUUCCCACUUCUUAGUGUAAGUAUUAGAAACUUAGUGUAAGUAUUAGAAACACUCUUUCCCGCUCUCUUGGUCUGUAACUCCCAACCCUGAAACUGAUACCCUUGCCUUCCAUUCUGUAGGGAACCCUCGCCAGAGGUUCUUCCAAUCAUAUCUUUGACUCUUACUUAUUCAUUUCAUUAUUCAUUUAAGUUACUCAGUUCACUUAUAUGAUAUUGAUUAGUCAGUUAUUAAGUAUAGAGGUCAACAAACAGCAAGUACUAUUUCGAUUUUAUGAUCCAAAACCU